GUCCCUCCCAUGAUUGAGAGUGAAUCGAACCUAGUCCAGUAAUAUUUACAAGUCUCACUUGUAUGUGAAAUAUUUUCCCAAGUGGGUUUCUGACCUAACUUUACCCAUUUGAUAAUUUCAUUCAAAUCUGAGUCUUUUAAUUGUAAAGAACCAAUACUAUUUUCGCUUACAAUUGUUUCAUUGUUAGCUACAUUUUCAGUUUGUUUUGUAGGGAUAUCAAGGGGCAGAGCAGAUUUACCACAAGAUCUGGUUGUAACAGAACAGUUUGCAGCAGGAAGAGGUCCUCUUAUACCAUCCUUGCUUAACAGUGAUUGGGGAUUACCCCUGUGCUUUGUCGACUUCUGCUCCCUGAAUUCGACACGGGAAAGUUUCCCUGAUUUGAGGAUUGAAAGCGACCAUUCUGAGAUUGUCUAUUUGGCCUUGUCAGAGCCUGAUUUCUGUGUAAGAGAAGAGGUACCGGACCGUUGAUACACAUCACAAGUGAUGUAAUCAUUCAGAUCGCAGGACCUGCACCCAUUCUCCUCAGAGGCUUCAAAUUGGCUGUUUUCAUUUGACAUUUUGACUUUUGUUAUUGGCUAUUGCAACACAAAUUUAUGUGUUUAUAUGUCAAUGUGCUUGUCGUUGUCAAUAGACUUAACAAGACUUAUAAGUCAAUAUUUUAGAUCCUGAUGUAGACUUUCGAUCAACCAGAAUAAAAGGAAGACUUUAUCCCACUUCUGACACCAAUUGUUACGACUUACAACUUUAUGUUUAGCGGCGUAACAUUGUGGGGCUCCUUAAUCUGAAUGUUGAACGAAAGACAACAGGAUAUAAUUUGUUUUUAAUAUUUUAUUAGAUUUUAUUCAAUAAACAUACAAAAAUA